GUCCCCAAUCACUGUCCGAACAAGGUCAGGCAUGUUCCAUUCUGGGGGUAAUUGCUUAAUUAAAAGCUCUCCCCACCCACUCUGUGUAUUCAUCACAGAGUCUAUCAAAUAUCCGCUCACACUCAGGUGGAGCGCUUUGCGCGUCCGACCUAGUUGAAGAGGUACUUGACGAGAAAGACAGACUAUUACUAUCAUUUAUCAUAAAAUCGAAAUCACUGGGCGUUGGAUUCCCAUAGAGUACAAGCGAAUUUAUCUUCAUGACAGACCACUUUGCUUUGUUCUUGCUCCCCCCAAAAAAAGAGAGACUUGUCGGAAAUCACCGGUUGGGUUUGUCCAACCAAGAAAGACAUGGGAUUGUUUGGGCGUAACAUUCUUUUGCUUAUCUUACGAUAUUUCUACUCAGCUUGAAAAGAAACCUCAAGCCGAUAAGAGCUCUUCAUCAUGUUCGAGAAUUUCGAAAGAAGAACUGAGAGUGAUUGACCUCUCACUCACGGCACACAUGCUAUAUGUGUGAUGCCGACACCUAAGAGACUUUGACUCCUCCCUUCGAUAAGCUGUCCAACUAAGGGGAAGCAUAUUGACCUCAAUACUCACUCUCCAGUCCACAUCUUUUACAUAUACAUAUACGAAAUUACUUCGUCCUUUUUGCUUAGCUUGUUUUGGAGAUAGAUGUAAAGUGAAGAACUAAAAGAAAGCAAAAGCCUAACUAACAUAAAAAGAAAUUGUUAGAGUGAAAUGAAUGUGCCGCUUUUUCUUGGUAUACCAACUUUUGGCUUUCCAUUCGAGAAACUAAUGGCUGAUGCUUUUAGCCGAAGGUUUUCUUUUAUUAGGAAGACUGUAACUGCAUUUGAUCUCGGCCGUUGCAUUCAGGGCAAGAAAGCUUUGACGCUUACUUGACCCGAUUCAGGAACCUAAGUAUCCAUUUUAAGGAUACAAUUCCAGAGGACAGGCUCAUUGCAACCUGUAUAAACGGGUUGCGGUUUUGGCUUCAGACCUAUUUGAUCUCGGCCGGCCUCCCGGAAGCGAAUGAUCUGAUAUUUCACCCGGGCGGCAUCGGAAGCAAGUGAUCAAAUUGGAAUUCCUGUUCUUCCGAUCCAAUGCCAUCAACGGGAGCUGAACUAAACCUGUCCUCAUCCACCCUUGUAGAAGCCCUUCCCUCUGCCCGGGUAGAACAUUGAUUUACAGCUUUUUUAUGUCGACUGUGAAGAGCAGAAAGAGCCUUUUAUAGCUUCAAAGAUAAGACUUGGGAUUAUUGAAUGAAGGAAUGAAGGAUAUUAAACCCCAUUCUUAUUCCCACCCAACCCGAGCAAGCAACCCGGUUCUACGUCCCUUUUUGAGAAUAAUCACCAAAGCCCCGACCUCAUUCAUUAGUGUUGAUUAGAAGAGGGCCUAAUAACCAUACGACCGACGGGUCGUAAUACAACCAACCCUUGAAUUCAAUAUGAAGGGUGCCAGUUCCGGCUUGCUCCGCACAGGCUACACGAUUCCAGGGAAGGUGAAGAGACGGCUACGAAGGGACCAAGCCCAAGCUGAUCCCCAUUGCCAUCUUCUUUUGCAUCUGUUGAAUCCGCUUUCCCAGUUGGUAGUCGGCGGGAGGUGGAGAUUAGUUCGUUGCUUCAGGAGAACAAAUAGGUGGGGCACCUAGGUUCUUCGGAUGGAUAGGGAAAUCUAAACCUUGAGUCAGCGCAGGUGACGUCUAGCUUCCAAGCAUGGGAUAUCCAGGAGGGGAUGACAGAGAAUUUGAUUUCAACAUGGGUGGAGGCAGCCAUAUUCUAGAAAGAUUUAUGACCGAUGGAUCUGGUACUGGAUAAUUGAUUCAUUGUUUCGCCCCUCCCGGUCGGUGUCAAGCAGAUGGCACUUCGGAAGAUGGAUUCCAAUAGCUUGGUCUCCUUCUCAAGCUUCCACCCACGUUCUUCACUUCUUUCCAUCGGCCCACAGGGAGAGGAAUCAGGGGCUUACUACCCGCACAUUGGACCUGGGAGCGGAAUGAAGAGAUUUGGAUUAUAAGUGGGAUGGCAUAGGAUUGAACCUAGAGUAUGAAGAUGCAGGGGGAGAUGGCCACAGAUGCCCAGAUACUGGUACUGGUGAAGAGAAGACAAGUUGUAGAGUUCCGGUGAAGGAGGAAGAGCUUUAGUAACGAGAUUUGGAAAUAGAUUGAUAGAUUGAUAGUUGGCUGGUACCUCCCUCGCCUCUGGUGGUGCAAUAGAAGAUGGUGGAGCCUCGUUCAAUGCUGCUUAGCCGCUACUGGCCAACUUGCUUCCAUAUCAAGUUCUGGUCCAUUGUUUGCUCGAACUCCCUACCAAUGGGGAAUAGGAGCUAGCAUCUGAUCACCUUGGUUCCGCUUGGCACUGAAAUGAUAUUAGUCGGUCAUUGCCUCGGAUUCGGUCCACUUCCUUAUUAUACGGAGUCACUUCCAUCGCUAGCUUCCAUUGACUUCGAACCUUCCCUGGCACCGGAGAUAGAAGAAGAUGGCUUCUCGGGCAUCCCUGUUCCAUCGGUUAUCUGUUGGGCUUGGGAUGCUUCCAUCGUGUAUACUUGCAAUAAAAGGACUCGAAUAAGAGCUGUGGGCAUAGCAGCUUCAACCGAAUUGUCCUCCUCUUCUUCGACCAACCUAUAAUGAGAUUUUCAACCCCCUGCCUAUGAUUUAUGAAUCAAGAAGUCCUGCCUUCGGCUAUUCCUUCUAUCCCUCCCGGCCGGAAACAUCUCGUAGAUAAAGUGAGUUCCCGAUAUCGGAAAUUCUUAUUAUUCGAUCCCCCACUCGAGCUAUGUUGGACGGUCUAUUACCCGCCCAACCCAUAGCUCGAGCUGGAUUCAGACAUCAAGGCCGGGAAGAAGCAAGGGUGUAUACCUUACAUACAUAAUACCUAAUUUUACACUGAUCCUUUUUCAUAAGGUGGACCUUAUUCGAAAUUUCCACCCACCCAAUCCUAAUGCAGUAGCUCACCGAAGGUAGGCCCUCACCAAUAGCAAGGGUAGCCUGGGAACAGCAUAAGUAGUUUCCUAAGCACCACCAGCGUGGUAAAUGGCAGAGGCCACAGGAGGAAAGGAUUUUUUACCAAUUGAUAUAGUUUAUCUUGAUCCAUCAGUCGAAGAACCAGUUUCCCUUCGCUCAGUACCAUACGCACCACCAAUAGUAUCAGCAGCAUCUGUAGCUAAGAUAUAAGUAUACCUAGUCUAGUAUAAGAUCCAGUAGUUCCAGCUUAUCUACCAAGAGCUAAGGUAUCUAUCGGUAACACCAAGAACAAAGGCAGGAACAUAGGCAUAAGCAAAGCCAUAAGUAUAGGUACCUAGUAGAGGAUUAACUACUCAAUUAAAAUAAAAGAAAAGAAAAUAGAAAUUAAUAAAUAGAAAUAAAGGGUGGUCGAAGAUCAGGUGGAGAAAUCAAAGCCCUUCUUUUUCCUCCCACCCUGGCGCUUGCUUUGUCUCUGCCUAUGCUCUAGCUACCUACUAUGCUCCAGCUGCUGCCAUCUUUGCUCCAACCUUUACCUCCGUGGGAUCCACUGGCAUUGGUUCUCGAACUGCAACUGGAAAUUGAACAUUUAAGUCUGCCUUUGCCGCAGGCUCUGCUGCGAGCUCCGGUACUUGAAUUGGCUCGGAUGUUGGAACAAGCUUUUGAGCUCCAACUGAAUCUAAGUAAACGAGGACAACUGGGUAUGCAACCAACUCUCGUUGGUUCUGAAUCAACGGGUGAACCCGCUACCUCCACCUUUGCUUCUGGCUUUAAUGCAUGCUCUCUCACAUGGACUAAAUAUCGAUCUGCGCCUAGAUACCUUGCCACUGAAUCCGCUGCUGGAACUUAGUCAGCUACAUCUUGAACCGCUGCUACCUUCCUUUCCGCUGCUUUCUCUGCUGGUGGUUCCGGAUCAACCUCAAUUGGUGCUUCUCACUUUUAUGCUGUGGGGUAAGCUGCUCCUGCAGGCACGGGAUCUUCUAUUGAUAUAUAAUUUUUGACUUAUAGCUUUGCCACGAGGUCUGCUGCUAGCUCUAUCUAUGCCUCUAUUGCUUCAACCGAGUAAACCGUUGCUCUUGUCUAUGCUUCCUCUUUUUUUCAUGCAAUAAACCCAGGCGACCUUUGCCUCUUAAGCCUCUGCCUUUCCUCCUGCUGCUCGAACUCCAACUGGAUAUGGAAAAGGAAUGGGCCCCCUAUAGGUGAUGGCUUUGGAUCUCGACCUGGACAGGCGCUGAUCCUGUUCCAUAGCACACGGCAUCCCUUCCAGUCUCUGUAGACGUUCCAUAUACAGAUCCAAUUUCAGUUGGAAACCCAUAGCCCUUAGUAGCGGACGCAGCUGCAGAUUAAGUAGCCACGGCAGGCGCAGGAGCAAUUCCCUUAUUAUCACAGACCACCUGUUCAUAAUCGAUCUUCUUUGUAGCGCUUUCGGUUGCCUUCCUUGGAGGUCAGGAAGAAAGCUUUCAAUGGAGAAAGGGGAAAAGGGAUUGGCUUUCUAUUACGGUUCUUCCUUUUGCCCUGGUUAUUAAAUAGGCGAUUAUGAUUCCAUACAUCAUUCUUACUAGUUAGUUGAGGGCAAAGUGACUAGCGGGCCUACGAUCAGACCUAAUCAAAAACUAUACGCGGACCUACUCGCUCUCUUAGAAGCUGUCUUUGAUUAAAGCUCACUUGGAACGUCGCUCGUUUGGAACCCUGUCCCUCUGAAACUCACUUUGCAUCUUGGAUGACAGGGCCCCUGGUGCCAGCGGUCGGCACCCAACGGAGCUUUAGUAUUCUAUUAGUAGCUGGGCCGUCAAAAGCAAGGUUGGUCGUAGAUCAGCUGCGCUGAUGACGAUGCUAUCAUAAGAAAGGACCAGGCUGUCCCCGGGAAGAUUGAGCGGGUCCUAAGAGAUUUUGAGGAUGUCAUGCCUGCCUAAGAUCGUAGUAGAGCACCCUGAUUUACAAUCAGCCCUCUCCUAGAGCACUUCUGAUCAAAGAUCAGCCUUCUCGUUCCGACCACUUCUGAUCAAAGAUCAGCCCUCUCGUAGACCACUUCUGAUCAAAGAUCAGCCUU
rnacentral:lncRNA from 1 species